GGAUGUAAGGGCAAUCUGGCUGCGACAUCUGUCACUCCACUGAUUGCCAGGGUUGAUUCAGCUGAUCUGGCUGGCUAGGCAGGUGCCCCUUCCUCCCUCAUCACUCCAUGUGCAUCCCUCCCAAAGCUGCACGCUUGGUCAAAGAGGACAACCUUCCCCGAAUAGAGGAGGCUCGGUCUUCAGUCAAGGGUACACGAGUAGCUGCGUGCCCCUGCUAGAGCCUCCACACAAGCUCUCAAGAAACAGGCUUGCUUAAAAAAAAAAAAAGGAGGGAAGAUCAAAGGUGGGGGACAAAAAGGAAACAAAAUUUUCUAACUCUUUUUAUCAGCUCAAUUGUGGGCACAACAGUAA
rnacentral:snRNA from 1 species